GGAUCAUCAUUGUGCUUGUGGGUUUAGCAGCUCUCAUAGCAGCUGUUGUGGUGGUCAACAUGUGGAUGAGAAUUAAAGGGAACCAAACACAGAGGGAAGACAAUGCUGAGCAGAAUGAUGAGGAUGGAGAUGAAGGUACAGUGACGUAUGAAAACGUUGGAGAACCUUCUGUUUCUAUCAGACUCCACUGAUCAACAACUUCAACAUCAGCAUGAAGUCGUAAAGGAAACGCAUCACAUAAUUUGAAGUGCUUUGUUAGAUAAUGUCAAACUUCUCUUUCAGAUUUAAUCAUUUUAUAUUCAGCACCGACAGCUACGCCAUUGUUUAACUAUUGAGUCUUGAUCUGUAAACAUCAACAGAUUGUUGAUUUUAUCAUUAUCAUUUACACGUUCAAGUUAUUCUUUAAACACAUAGGCUACAUGGUAUGAAGUGUGAUAUAACUGCCGUCUUUUC